GUGGGGAAUAUUGGACAAUGGGCGAAAGCCUGAUCCAGCCAUGCCGCGUGAACGAUGAAGGCCUUCGGGUUGUAAAGUUCUUUAGCCGAUGAUUAUAAUGACUGUAGUCGGAAAAUAAGCCCCGGCUAACUUCGUGCCAGCAGCCGCGGUAAUACGAAGGGGGCGAGCGUUAUUCGGAAUCACUGGGCGUAAAGCGUGCGUAGGCGGUUUUGUAAGUUAGGAGUGAAAGCCCAGGGCUCAACCUUGGAAUUGCUCUUAAAACUGCAAGGCUCGAAUCUCGGAGAGGAUAGCGGAAUUUCCAGUGUAGCAGUGAAAUGCGUAGAUAUUGGAAGGAACACCAGUGGCGUAAGCGGCUAUCUGGACGAGUAUUGACGCUGAGGCACGAAAGCGUGGGGAUCAAACAGGAUUAGAAACCCUAGUAGUCC
rnacentral:rRNA from 1 species